rnacentral:rRNA from 1 species
UACGUAGGGCGCGAGCGUUGUCCGGAAUUAUUGGGCGUAAAGAGCUCGUAGGCGGCCUGUUGCGUCCGCUGUGAAAGCCCGGGGCUUAACCCCGGGUCGGCAGUGGAUACGGGCAGGCUAGAGGUAGGUAGGGGAGAAUGGAAUUCCCGGUGUAGCGGUGAAAUGCGUAGAUAUCGGAAGGAACAUCAGUGGCGAAGGCGGCUACCUGGACCAGCACUGACACUGAAGCACGAAAGCGUGGGGAGCAAACAGG